UACGGGGGGGCAAGCGUUGUUCGGAAUUACUGGGCGUAAAGGGCUCGUAGGCGGCCAACUAAGUCAGACGUGAAAUCCCUCGGCUUAACCGGGGAACUGCAUCUGAUACUGGAUGGCUUGAGUUCGGGAGAGGGAUGCGGAAUCCAGGUGUAGCGGUGAAAUGCGUAGAUAUCUGGAGGAACACCGGUGGCGAAAGGCGGCA
rnacentral:rRNA from 1 species